AUUGAACGCUGGCGGCAUGCCUUACACAUGCAAGUCGAACGGUAACGGGCCUUCGGGUGCCGACGAGUGGCGAACGGGUGAGUAAUGUAUCGGAACGUACCUUUCAGUGGGGGAUAACGUAGCGAAAGUUACGCUAAUACCGCAUAUUCUGUGAGCAGGAAAGCAGGGGAUCGCAAGACCUUGCGCUGAUUGAGCGGCCGAUCUCAGAUUAGCUAGUUGGUGAGGUAAAGGCUCACCAAGGCGACGAUCUGUAGCGGGUCUGAGAGGAUGAUCCGCCACACUGGAACUGAGGCACGGUCCAGACUCCGACGGGAGGCAGCAGUGGGGAAUUUUGGACGAUGGGGGCAACCCUGAUCCAGCCAUGCCGCGUGAGUGAAGAAGGCCUUCGGGUUGUAAAGCUCUUUCGGCCGGGAAGAAAUCGUAUCAGCUAAUACCUGGUGCGGAUGACGGUACCGGCAUAAGAAGCACCGGCUAACUACGUGCCAGCCGCCGCCGUAACAC
rnacentral:rRNA from 1 species